rnacentral:rRNA from 1 species
GACGAACGCUGGCGGCGUGCCUAAUACAUGCAAGUCGAACGCAGUGGGGACGGGUGAGUAACACGUGGGUAACCUCCCAUCAGAGGGGAUAACACUUGGAAACAGGUGCUAAUACGAUAGUGAUGGAUGGACCCGCGGUGCAUUAGCUAGUUGGUGAGGUAACGGCUCACCAAGGCCACGAUGCAUAGCCGACCUGGGAGGUUGAUCGGCCACACUGGGACUGAGACACGGCCCAGACUCCUACGGGAGGCAACAGUAGGGAAUCUUCGGCAAUGGACGAAAGUCUGACCGAGCAACGCCGCGUGAGUGAAGAAGGUUUUCGGAUCGUAAAACUCUGUUGUUGGAGAAGCGGUAUCUAACCAGAAAGCCACGGCUAACUACGUGCCAGCCGCCGCGGUAAUAC